rnacentral:rRNA from 1 species
GACAGAGGUGCCGAGCGUUAGGCGGAAUCACUGGGCUUAAAGCGUGUGUAGGCGGAUCGUUAAGUGCCUUGUGAAAUCCCACGGCUCAACCGUGGAACUGCUUGGCAUACUGGCGGUCUUGAGCCACUUAGGGGCUACCGGAACAAACGGUGGAGCGGUGAAAUGCGUAGAUAUCGUUUGGAACGCCAAUGGUGAAAACAGGUAGCUGGGAGUGUGCUGACGCUGAGACGCGAAAGCGUGGGGAGCGAACAGG